rnacentral:rRNA from 1 species
AGCAGCCGCGGUAAUUCCAGCUCCAAUAGCGUAUAUUAAAGUUGUUGCAGUUAAAAAGCUCGUAGUUGAAUUUCGGAGUUCUACCGUUGGUCGGGCAAUAGUCUGUACUGGCGUGUAGAAUUUCUACCUUCUGGGGAACCAUCAUGUUAUUUAUUUAGCGUGGUGGGAAACCAGGACCUUUACCUUGAAAAAAUUAGAGUGUUCAAAGCAGGCUUACGUCUGAAUACAUUAGCAUGGAAUAAUAAAAUAGGACGGUGGUCCUGUUUUGUUGGUUUCUGAAUCACCGUAAUGAUUAAUAGGGAUAGUUGGGGGCAUUAGUAUUCAAUUGUCAGAGGUGAAAUUCUUGGAUUUAUUGAAGACUAACUUCUGCGAAAGCAUUUGCCAAGGAUGUUUUCAUUAAUCAAGAACGAAAGUUAGGGGAUCGAAGACGAUCAGAUACCGUCGUAGUCUUAACCAUAAACUAUGCCGACUAGGGAUCGGACGAUGUUAAUUUUUCUUGACUCGUUCGGCGCCUUACGGG